UACGGAGGGUGCGAGCGUUGUCCGGAAUCACUGGGCGUAAAGGGCGCGUAGGCGGCGCGGUAAGCGUGCGGUGAAAGCCCGGGGCUCAACCCCGGGUCGGCCGUGCGGACUGCCGGGCUCGAGCACUGUAGAGGCGGGUGGAAUUCCGGGUGUAGCGGUGGAAUGCGUAGAGAUCCGGAAGAACACCGGUGGCGAAGGCAGCCUCCUGGGCCAGCACUGACGCUCAUGCACGAAAGCGUGGGGAGCAAACAGG
rnacentral:rRNA from 1 species